rnacentral:rRNA from 1 species
ACGCUUGAAGUCAGUCGCGUUGAUUGGGACUCAGCCUUGGAUUUUUCCUUGGUGUAUUUCCUAGUUAACGGGCCAACAUCGAUUUUGACCGUUGGAAAAGGUUCAGGGAAAUGUGGCACCUUCGGGUGUGUUAUAGUCCCUGUUCACAUACACCGGUUGGGAUCGAGGACCGCAGCACGCCUUUAUGGCCGGGGUUCGCCCACGUACGUGCUUAGGAUGUUGGCAUAAUGGCUUUAAACGACCCGUCUUGAAACACGGACCAAGGAGUC